GGAUGCAAAAGUCGUAACAAGGUUUCCGUAGGUGAACCUGCGGAAGGAUCAUUACAGAGUUCAUGCCCUCACGGGUAGAUCUCCCACCCUUGAAUAUUUAUACCUUAGUUGCUUUGGCAGGCCGUGGAAACACCAUGGGCUCCGGCUUAUGCGUGCCUGCCAGAGGAAACAAACUCUGUUUUUAGUGAUGUCUGAGUACUAUAUAAUAGUUAAAACUUUCAACAACGGACCUCUUGGUUCUG
rnacentral:misc_RNA from 1 species